GUGCCAGCCGCCGCGGUAAUACGGAGUGUGCGAGCGUUACUCGGAAUCACUGGGCAUAAAGAGCACGUAGGCGGGGAUGCAUGUCCGUGGUGAAAUCCCCCAGCUCAACUGGGGAACUGCUUCGGAAACUGUGUCUCUUGAGGACGAGAGGGGAGAGUGGAACUUCUGGUGGAGCGGUGAAAUGCGUAGAUAUCAGAAGGAACACCGGUGGCGAAAGCGACUCUCUGGCUCGUUUCUGACGCUGAGGUGCGAAAGCUUGGGUAGCAAACAGGAUUAGAAACCCCUGUAGUCC
rnacentral:rRNA from 1 species